rnacentral:rRNA from 1 species
CAGCCGCCGCGGUAAUACGUAGGGUGCGAGCGUUAAUCGGAAUUACUGGGCGUAAAGCGUGCGCAGGCGGUUUUGUAAGACAGGCGUGAAAUCCCCGGGCUCAACCUGGGAAUGGCGCUUGUGACUGCAAAGCUAGAGUGCGGCAGAGGGGGAUGGAAUUCCGCGUGUAGCAGUGAAAUGCGUAGAUAUGCGGAGGAACACCGAUGGCGAAGGCAAUCCCCUGGGCCUGCACUGACGCUCAUGCACGAAAGCGUGGGGAGCAAACAGGAUUAGAGACCCCCGUAGUCCCUGUCUCUUAUAC